rnacentral:tRNA from 1 species
GAGGGUAUAGCUCAGCAGUAGAGUGCGUGCCUAGCAUGCACAAAGUCCUGGGUUCAAUCCCCAGUACUUCCA